rnacentral:ribozyme from 1 species
UGCCCAGCAACUCCUAUCCCUACCUCCACGCGGUACCGGCCGGAAACUAUGAGCAACCUUAGAGAAGACCGGGUAACCAACCCCGGUGGGAACUUUGGUCGUAGGCUGACAGGGAAGG